rnacentral:rRNA from 1 species
AUUGAACGCUGGCGGCAUGCCUUACACAUGCAAGUCGAACGGUAACAGGUCUUCGGAUGCUGACGAGUGGCGAACGGGUGAGUAAUACAUCGGAACGUGCCCGAUCGUGGGGGAUAACGGAGCGAAAGCUUUGCUAAUACCGCAUACGAUCGACGGAUGAAAGCAGGGGAACGCAAGGCCUUGCGCGGACGGAGCGGCCGAUGGCAGAUUAGGUAGUUGGUGGGAUAAAAGCAUACCAAGCCGACGAUCUGUAGCUGGUCUGAGAGGACGACCAGCCACACUGGAACUGAGACACGGUCCAGACGCCUACGGGAGGCAGCAGUGGGGAAUAUUGGACAAUGGGCGCAAGCCUGAUCCAGCAAUGCCGCGUGGGUGAAGAAGGCCUUCGGGUUGUAAAGCCCUUUUGUACGGGAAGAAAUCCUUUCGGUUAAUACCCGGAGGGGAUGACGGUACCGUAAGAAUAAGCACCGGCUAACUUCGUGCCAGCAGCCGCCGUAAUAC